GGCGUUGUUACUGUGAGGCGCUUGGCAACGCUUCAGACGCCCUUGUGACAACACCGAAUCUCGUGAUCAAAAGCCUCUCAAGUAUAUUUGUACGAGUAAGUGCGUGGGCGUCUCUUCGAUGCGGGAAUUGCGGAACUCGUUUUCAUACACUGUGCAAGAAAGUGCACAGCUGUGAAGGGCACUGCUCGAUCUCCUCUAUUCUCUCUUUUUGUUUUUUUUUUGUGCGGCGGGCACCUGACUUGUGCGACCCGGCCAUCCAUGGUGAGGAGGGUUCGCGUGAUCGGCGGUGUGAAGCAACGCAGGUGCCGCUGCAAGUGCCGCGAUCGACAGUCUCCGGCGCCGUUGACGUCCUUCAACGGCGACAUAUAUCUCUGUCUUGGUCGGCGCUGUGCAUCUGAGUUCAACGGGAUCGUCUCGCUCAUAUCUACCACGACGGUAUGUAGCGCAAUUCGAUUUUGAAUGCCAAUAAGCCGGGUGGCGCUGCUACCGGGAGUUGCUCUCGAGCCCAAAAGCAAUGGAAGGUGACAGGAAAUACAGCAGGCAUGAAUACUGGCCUGCGAUAUGCACAUGCAUACAUCUACACACAUAUAUAUAUAGAGAGAGAGAGUGCUGUAGUGGAAGAAAGCAACAAGCUGCCGUUCUAUUGGUCAGUUGUGUUGGUGCGGCGCCUCUCCUCACUUUCCCGUCUCCCUUUCGUGUUUUUCCGGUUCACGCCCACGAUGUUUCAAACGAGGUUGAAGGACAGACCAGCAGCGGCUUUCUUUUUGCUUCGAUGUUCUCACGCGCUGAGAACGAGGAACAUCUCAGCGUAUCAUCCAAAGUCCAGUGCCUACUCUUUGUGGUGAGGCCAAGGGAUUCCAGCUUGCUCUCGGGUACGGCUGCGGACUCUUGGUAUCGGCGGACAGGUCUGUGCUCGCGCUGCGCCGAAGUGACUUGCGACCAUGAUCACUAUCGGGCCAGCUUACUAGGCAUCGUGCUGAUGAUUCAAGGAAUAUACGCAUCCAUCUCCUGCUUUUCUGCCUUUGCUGCGCUGCGAUGAUGCUGAGCGUGGCCCCGGGGCCUAGCCUGCGCUGCACACAGUGGCGUUGCGGUGGGCUGAGCGGCGCCAGACGGCGCUGGUGGGCCCGGCUCCUCGACAAAUCUUCGAUACAAGUCCGCAUUCUGCAAGGGGUGCAUUUCGCCCUCACAGACCCGCAAAGCAUGUUGUUUGUAUGGUUUUCGGCACUGUGGUGUAGAAAAAGAAAAGAAGCGUGGUGGUGACGUCUCGGUGCUGAAACAAGAGAAGAUACAUAUGUGUGCGGGCCCUCCCCCCUGCUCUCAAGGACGAGGUUGGCGCAGUGGCGUUCUGGCUUCGCUGUGAUUAGCCCUACUACACGGGUACACUUCAUGUCGGGCCUUUCACCUAAGGGUGAAAUGGUUACAUGAGAAGCUCCCUAUCAAAUACGAAGCGGCAUCGCGCCUAGCCCUCGCGUUGCUGGGAUAGGCGCCGGCCUGCGCCGCCAGGUGCAGAACACGAAAAGACGGCCCGAAUGGGCUGGAGCCAUUCUACACGACUAGCUCACUGACAAAUAAUUGACAUGCGCCAACAAAAAUGACACUUCAACAUGGCACGGCGCAGACGGGGCCACGGAGACGUCACUUUGGGGCUCGACUGCAUCAUCUAAGA
rnacentral:misc_RNA from 1 species